rnacentral:sRNA from 2 species
CGUACUCACCCACCACCCGUACACGGCAGGAGCGGGGGACCCACAGGUAUCACCGCCUGUUCCGGUCUCCGGAACGGCUCGGGGUAAAGCCGCACCGCACCCGGUGCGGCCGGGCAUCUCCAGCCCGCACCCGACAGCUCACCUCGCAGGCGCCGGAGAGGAAUU